rnacentral:ncRNA from 1 species
GAGGGAGCUGCCGAAGGUGGGACCGAUAACUGGGGUGAAGUCGUAACAAGGUAGCCGUAUCGGAAGGUGCGGCUGGAUCACCUCCUUU